rnacentral:lncRNA from 1 species
UAACUUCUGCCAAGGCCAAGGUAGAAUAUCAAAAGCCCUCGGGUUUGCUUCAGCAACCGGAUAUACCCGAGUGGAAGUCGGAGCGGAUAACCAUGGACUUCAUAACCAAGCUGCCCAAGACAACGGGUGUGACAACCCGAAAUUUCCAUUUUGUACGAACAAUAUCUAUUCAAUAGAAGUUAGUCCAGUUUCAGUGAUUUUCAGACUUUUCCGAAUAAAUUUGUGUACAUUAGGGUUUACAUUUAAGGAGAUAUCAGGAGAGUGGAUGCUCGUGGGUUUGUGAAGCUUGAGCAUUUUAACACUUCAUCAUGUUAGAGUCCAAUUCCAGAAUAAAAUAUUUUCUGCCAAAAUAUUUCAGGACUAUAAAUAGAUUUCUGAACUAAAUAUUUCAUUAUUCACAUUUCCAACUAGAGAAAAGCCAAUUUCUCUCUCACGGAUCUUCGGGUUUUUAUCCCAAAUCGUGAGUCUACUUUCCUAGAUGUGUUUUAAUACUUGUUAUAUGCUUAAUAACAUUGUUUACAUGUCUAAAAUGAGAGAUCCGGGAGUUUACCGCCCAAGAACGUUCUUGGGGAGUAAACUCCAAAACAAGGCCUAAAAGCUACCUAGUCCCAUUUCCUUGUUAGGUAGCUAGUUAAGGACAUUAUGUAUGAUCUUUUAAGGCUAGAACACAAUCAAGAACAACUAGUUUUAGGAGUUUACGGCCCAAGAGAUUCUUGGACCGUAAACACCUUUUUCAAGGGCUUAAAGUGCCCUAAACACCCCUUAAGGCUUUAGACAAUAACCCUCUAAUACUUGUAACUUGAAUGGGGAGUAAAUUACAUCAAAAUCAUCCCUAAAGGGGAGUUUACGGCCAAGAAAUGCUCUUGGGCCGUAAACUCCAAGUAAAGGCACCAAAGUGUGCCUAAAGUCCCCUUUAGCCUUAAACAAAAGUCUAGGAUUUAUCCUUUGUGUGCAAGAGGCUUAAAAGAAUUAAAACACCCACCCCAUAGGAGUUUACGGCCGUAAACUCUAGGGGAUAUGGUCUUUAGGCCGUAAACUCCUCAAAGGAGCAUUCUAAGGCCCUAAACUACCUAAAGGAUUAAAGCACCAAUGCUAGGCUUAUUCUAGAAUUCAUUUAACACUUCAAAACACCCAAAACCACCAAGUCAAGAGUUCACGGCCGUAAACUCAAGGGUUUACGACCGUAAACUCCAAAGGUGGGGUUUGUUGGGUGGUAAACUCAUAUACAAGGUCAUUUGGUACAUUAAACCCCUUUAGCCUUGUCCCGUAGCAACUUAGAUGCAACCAUUAGGACCUAUAACACUUAUACAAAGUGUUUACAUGUUCCUAAGUGUCCCAACUUAUUUCAUUAAGUUAUUAUUUGGCUAAUUAGUUAUAUAUAUGCUUAUUAUAUGAUAACUAGGCUCGUGCGUGUGAACAAGUCUCCGUUUGCCACCUAGCACGGUAUCCGACACUACAAUCCAAACCACUCACCACAAGUGAGUUCAUACCCCUUUAAUUAACCUUUGAAAUGCUUUUAAAUGUUUUAAAUACUUUAUGGGGGGGAAACAAGUUCAAUGCUUAUAGUUAUUGAAAUCAAUCACAUGUGAUUGCAUUAAUCACAUGUGAUUAAUAACUAGAAAACCAAUGAUUUUAUCACUGUUCAAACUGUUUAUCAAACUGCUUUACUUCGAAAUGUUUUACAAACUCUUUUACUUAUCAAAUACUUUUAUUUAAACUUUGUUAUACUUCUUAUAAAUUGCAUGCCCAUAUAUGUAUAGAUAUAUAAGCAAUGUUUAAAGGGCUUAGGAAGGCCAUCCGCCCUAUUUCCUUUUUCUCGAUUUGGAUGUGGUCUGGUGGGAUUUCGGGUGACCAUCCGAAGGUCGUUUCAAUAUUAGUUAUAUAUCAAUUAUACAUAUAUAGACAUAAAAGUACUUCCAUUUUCAUGCGUACUAUACACAUUAGCAGUAAGUUACCAUCGGGGUAACACAGGAUCAUACUACUACAACUGUUAGAUCAAUGAGUCAGUUCAUUCAUGAGUCUAUACAUUACAUUACUACUAGAACAUAUACAACUAUACUAGGAGGAGAACAUAUACAACUAUACUAGAACGAGAAACAUUACAUUACAUAUACAAGAAUACGUUAACAAUUGUGAUCCACUGUAUCGGAGCAUGCCUUAAAUGUCAUGGCCCGAGUUGUAGCCAGAAUUCUCUUGGAGGGAGAGAGUGAGUUUGCGUAUAGAUCUAUACUGGAUUGACUAUCCUACACCUUGCUCUUAGCUACAGCCGGACCUGCAGGUCUGCGGGUGCCAAACGUCAUUCCGUUAUUACGACCAUUCGUAUGUCGUUGUUACCAGUCGAUAGUAUGGUGCAAUUAUCACAGUAUACCUUAAUAUAAAUCUGGUUUAAGGUAGUUAGUACAUCAGUAGUUCCUAUAAUACAAAACUACAGUACUACAACGAUUUACCCAUUACAUAUUUUUAGUGAUAACCUCACUUAAACAUUAAUGUACAAACUAUAUUUGUUAAAUGAUAGUUACACUUGGGAAAUUAGACACUUUUACAACAAACGAGCAUACAAAACAGUAAAGCCUUGGUAGAAGGCUACUUUAAUAGAAAAUAUAGGAUUUUCUGGGAGAUUCAAACUUUUACAAACACUUACAUACAUUUUACAGACUUAUACUUGAGACACGUUCAAAUGUUUUGACCACAAACAUCGACAUUAAAAUACUUAUGAACUCAUCAGCUUAAUGCUGAUAAACUCUUUCAAAAUAACUUGUAUUCUCAGGUCGACAGUAGACAGGUACCGAGACCAGCUUUUGAGAAGUUGGAGCGCAUCCAAGACUCAUCUUAUUAUUUUGAUUUACAGUUUUGGUGUCUAUAACUGUACAGAACACAUUUGUAUUAAAAUUAUAUAUUUAAUGCAAUGGAUGAUGUUGUUUGCUUAUUUACUGUUAUACUGUGUUGUGAUACUUUACAUGACGUCCUCCGCCUCAGAAUGUUUCCGCCGUUCUUGGUUUUGGGGUGUGACAGCAUUGCCGUAUUGGACAUGUCAACAAGAAGCACAUAGCCCAACUCCAAAAGGAUAGAGUCUUCGAGUCAUUCGACUUGAAAUCGGAUGACACUUGCGAAACUUGUUUGCUUGGGAAGAUGACCAAGUCACCCUUCAUUAGUACUUGUGAAAGGGGUGAAGUUCUGUUGGAUAUCAUACACAUUGAUGUGUGUGGACCCUUCAGGACCGCCACAAGGGAUGCGAUCUGCUUUUAUGUGACUUUUACUGAUGAUUAGAACAGAUAUGGGUAUAUCUACUUAAUCAAGCAUAAGUCAGAAACCUUUGAAAAGUUCAAAGAGUUUAAGCAGAAAGUGGAGAAUCAAUUGGGCUGGGAGAUAAAGAUGAUUUGAUUCGAUAAAGGAGGACAGUAUCUUUGGGUCAAGGUUCUAGACUAUCUUAAGGAAUGUGGAAUAGUUUCACAGUUGAUGCCACCUAGGACACCGCAGUUGAAUGGUGUGGCUGAGAGGCGCAAUCGAUAUUUCUCCAUUGAGGUGAAUCCGCAACAUGUCUUAGUUUUCCGUCAGUUACACGUUCUUUCGAAUGCCAACAAAGUAACUUUGCUUCUUUUUCGUUUGAAAAUAACCUUUUUAGUCUUGGUAUAAUAGGGAGAUACCAUAAUAUUUUAGCCGGAUGUCCAUUUUUCGUCACAUCAUCAUCUACUUCAUCUGAAUCUUUUUUCUGUUUAUACCUCGAUGCACCGCAAAAAAACACAAUUAUGUUUAUUCUCGAACUCCUUUCUGUACAACAUACAAUUAUUUGGACAUGCAUGUAUUCUUUCAACUUCCAAUCCCAUCGGACACAUUAGCUUUUUUGCUUGAUAUGUAGAAAUAGGUAAUACAUUAUCUUCUGGAAGAAUGUCAUACAAAACCUCUAAUAGACUUGUGAAACUUUUAUCACUCCAUCCGUUUUUCGACUUUAAGUUAAUCAACCUACAUACCACAUCGAGUUUCAUAAAUUUGGAACCGCUAUAUAUCGGUGUUUCUGCUUCUUCAAAUACGCGUUGUAACUUUUCUUGUUCAACAUCAUCCAUGUUAGUCUCCAUGUCAUCAAACAUUUCAUUGAAAUUGUCAUUUGGGUCAUUUGAAUGAUGAUCAUCUUCAUCAUCAUAUGAAUCAUUGUUGUAUGUACUAUUAUGAAUAUUUAUAUUGCUCGACGAUGUGCCACAAUCAAGAAGUGUUUUUCUCCAUGUCUUGACCAACAAGUGUAAUUAGGCACAAAACCAUUUUGCAACAAAUGAUACUCUAUUUCUCCAAUAAAAUUAAACGUUUUAAAGUUUUUACAAAGGUUACAAGGACAAGAAAUCGAUUCAUUUCCAUUAUUCAUGCGAUUUGCUUCGGCAACCCUAAUAAAAGUUCGAACACCCUCUAUAUAAAGUUCAGAAAAACGUGAAGCUUUGUACAUCCAAUAAUCACGAGUCACCUGAAAAUUAAAAUAAACAAACAAACAAUGUAAUAUAUCGAUUUUCAACAAACAGGUUAUGUAAAUUUUAACAUUUUAAUAAUCUAUAAAAAUCAAUUUAAAAAUAACAAUUAAACAAUCAUUUAAUAAAUAAACAGGUAAUAUAAAAUCAAAAGAACAAUAAAAUUUAAUUUACCUUUAAUGAAGAUAACUAGACAAUUUAAUGAGGCUAUUUUGAGUUUUUGUCACUUGCAAGGGAUUUCGUCGAAGAAGAAUGUUCACAUUUACAAAGAAGAGAAACCCUCGUACUUAUAAUAAUUAGCUUUUAAUUGAUGCGGUUUUCGAAUAUGGCACUGAAAAAUCGUAAUUUAAUGAAGCGGUUUUGGAAUAUGGCACCAAAAAAUCGUUGUUUAAUGAAGCGGUUAGAAAAAAACGCACCAAAAAAUCAUAACUGAUGUGGUUUUUCGAAUAUGGCACUAAAAAAUCGUAAUUUAAUGAAGCGGUAUUGGAAUAUGGCACCAAAAAAUCGUUGUUUAAUGAAGCGGUUAGAAAAAAACGCACCAAAAAAUCAUAAUUUAAUAGUGCGUUAUUAGCAAAUAGCAUCAAAAAAUUGUUUUUAAUGCUUCUUUUUGGUGAACCGCAUUAAUAAAUCUAUUGGAGGAAUUUUUUUUGCUCUUUUAAUACGGUUUUCGUGUUUUUUAAUGCUACAUGGAUUUGAUGAGGUGGUUUCCUCAAACAACCGCCUCAAAAAAAAAAAAAANNNNNNNNNNNNNNNNNNNNNNNNNNNNNNNNNNNNNNNNNNNNNNNNNNNNNNNNNNNNNNNNNNNNNNNNNNNNNNNNNNNNNNNNNNNNNNNNNNNNNNNNNNNNNNNNNNNNNNNNNNNNNNNNNNNNNNNNNNNNNNNNNNNNNNNNNNNNNNNNNNNNNNNNNNNNNNNNNNNNNNNNNNNNNNNNNNNNNNNNNNNNNNNNNNNNNNNNNNNNNNNNNNNNNNNNNNNNNNNNNNNNNNNNNNNNNNNNNNNNNNNNNNNNNNNNNNNNNNNNNNNNNNNNNNNNNNNNNNNNNNNNNNNNNNNNNNNNNNNNNNNNNNNNNNNNNNNNNNNNNNNNNNNNNNNNNNNNNNNNNNNNNNNNNNNNNNNNNNNNNNNNNNNNNNNNNNNNNNNNNNNNNNNNNNNNNNNNNNNNNNNNNNNNNNNNNAACCAUUCAUUUCCAAUCGACCUCAUGCCAGUCUCAAUAAAAAGUUUCGACGUCAUCAUUGGCAUGGACUGGUUAAGCCUUCAUCGUGCCGACAUCAUGUGCUUCGAGAAAGCAGUCCGUCUAAACCUUCCGUCUAACGAAACUCUUAUAGUCUACGAUGACAAACCCAGUGCAAGUCUCCAUAUAAUAUCCAGUAUUCAAGCACAGAAGUAUCUGCGCAAAGAAUACCAUGCAUUCCUUGCUCACGUCGUCGACAUAAGUCUCGAAACGAAAGAACUAAAGAACAUCCCAGUAGUGAGCGACUUCCCCGACGUUUUCCCAGAAGAACUACCAGGGUUACCUCCGCAACGACAGGUCGAGUUCCGAAUCGACUUAGUCCCAGGAGCUACCCCAGUAGCCAAGUCGCCCUACCGUUUAGCACCAGCCGAGAUGCAAGAACUCUCUGGUCAACUUAACGAACUGCUCAGCAAGGGCUUUAUAAGGCCAAGUUUCUCACCUUGGGGAGCACCGGUCUUGUUUGUUAAGAAGAAGGACGGAUCCUUCCGUAUGUGUAUUGACUACAGAGAACUCAACAAACUGACGGUCAAGAAUCGUUAUCCUCUACCACGCAUAGAUGAUCUAUUCGACCAACUGCAAGGGGCGAACUAUUUUUCUAAGAUUGAUCUGAGAUCCGGAUAUCACCAGUUACGAGUGCUAGAGGAGGAUGUGCCGAAGACCGCCUUCCGAACUCGUUACGGACAUUACGAGUUCGUGGUGAUGCCAUUCGGAUUGACCAAUGCGCCCGCAGUCUUCAUGGAUCUGAUGAAUAGAGUAUGCCGACCCUACUUGGAUCAGUUCGUCAUCGUUUUCAUUGACGACAUCCUAAUCUACUCCCGAAGUAAGAAAGAACAUGGCGAUCAUCUGCGACAAGUUCUAGGGACAUUACGAAAAGAGAAACUUUAUGCGAAGUUCUCGAAAUGUGAAUUUUGGAUCCGAAGAGUCGAAUUCUUAGGACACGUGGUAAGCGAAGAGGGAAUCCACGUGGACCCAUCCAAAAUUAAGGCCAUUGAGAACUGGUCAGCACCGAAGACUCCUACAGAAAUUCGUCAAUUUCUAGGUCUCGCUGGCUACUACCGCAGGUUCAUUCAGAACUUCUCACGAAUAGCGAAGCCUCUUACAACCCUAACCCAGAAAGGUGUGGCCUUUGACUGGGAAGAGAAACAAGAAAGAGCGUUCCAAACGCUCAAACGAGCCUUGUGCACCGCACCAAUACUAUCCCUUCCGGAAGGAAUAGAAGACUUCGUAGUUUAUUGCGAUGCAUCGAAUCAAGGGCUCGGAUGUGUUCUGAUGCAGCGAGGUAAGGUCAUCGCCUACGCCUCGAGACAAUUGAAGACACACGAGGUUAACUACACGACCCACGAUCUUGAACUAGGAGCAGUAGUGUUUGCUCUGAAGAUCUGGAGACAUUACUUGUAUGGAACGAAGAGCACUAUCUUUACCGACCACAAGAGUUUACAACACAUUUUCGAUCAGAAGGAGCUCAACAUGAGACAACGACGAUGGGUCGAGCUACUCAGUGAUUACGAAUGCGAUAUUCGUUAUCAUCCGGGUAAAGCCAACGUAGUAGCAGACGCCCUAAGUCGGAAGGAAUAUUCUGGUCGCAAAGUCAAGUCAUUAUCGAUAACCAUCCAUUCACACCUGACUAAGCAAAUUCAGGCGGCUCAACUUGAGGCCAUGAAAUCUGAAAAUGUGUCAAGUGAAUCCCUUAGAGGAAUGGACAAGAAUUUAGAAGCCAAGGGUGACGGAGCUUUAUAUUUCAUGAACCGGAUCUGGACACCGAAACAUGGUGGUUUCCGAGACUUGGUCAUGACCGAGGCGCACAACACUCGGUAUUCCGUCCACCCAGGUUCAGAUAAGAUGUAUCUGGAUCUUAAGAAGCUAUACUGGUGGCCUAAUAUGAAAGCAGAGAUUGCUACCUUCGUAAGUAAAUGCCUUACUUGCGCAAAGGUUAAGGUCGAGUACCAGAAGCCCUCUGGUUUAUUGCAACAACCAGAGAUCCCGGAAUGGAAGUGGGAGCGGAUCACUAUGGAUUUCAUAACCAAGUUGCCCAAGACAACGGGUGGACUUGACACCAUAUGGGUCAUCGUUGAUAGAUUGACCAAGUCUGCACACUUCCUGCCUAUCAAAGAAACCGACAAGAUGGAGAAACUUACGAGAACAUACAUUAGGGAAAUCGUACGGCUACAUGGUGUACCUAUGUCCAUUAUCUCCGAUAGAGAUAGUAGGUUCACCUCAAGAUUUUGGCAAUCACUACAACAUUCCCUAGGAACAAGGCUGGACAUGAGCACAGCCUACCAUCCUCAGACCGACGGACAGAGUGAGAGGACCAUCCAAACUCUAGAAGAUAUGUUGCGAGCCUGCGUGAUUGACUUUGGGAAGGCAUGGGAUACUCAUUUACCCCUUGUCGAGUUUUCCUAUAAUAACAGUUAUCACACGAGCAUCAAGGCUGCUCCAUUUGAAGCUCUCUACGGCCGAAAGUGCAGAUCCCCUCUGUGCUGGGCUGAGGUGGGUGAUACCCAAUUAGCCAGGGGGCAAACUUCCGACAGUACUCUCACCGGUCCGGAGAUCAUUCGGGAAACGACAGAGAAAAUCGUUCAGAUCCGUGAACGAUUAAAAGCCUCUAGAGACCGACAGAAGAGCUACGCUGAUAAACGAAGAAAACCUUUGGAAUUUCAGGUGGGAGACCGAGUCCUUCUCAAAGUCUCACCCUGGAAGGGCUUGAUACGCUUCGGAAAGCGUGGGAAGCUUAAUCCGAGGUACAUAGGGCCUUUCGAGAUUCUUGCAAGAGUCGGCCCCGUAGCUUACAAACUCGACCUACCCGACGCACUUCGUAACGUACAUUCUACAUUCCACGUAUCUAACUUGAAAAAGUGUCUGUCCGACGAGACUCUUGUAAUCCCACUCGACGAGAUCGAGAUCAACGAGAGCCUCAACUUCGUGGAAGAACCAGUAGAGAUCAUGGACCGUGAGGUCAAGCAGACGAAGCAAAGCCGUAUCCCUAUCGUGAAGGUUCGCUGGAACGCCAAGCGAGGACCGGAAUUCACUUGGGAACGCGAGGAUCAGAUGAAACUGAAAUACCCUCAUCUUUUCGCUUAAUUGUUUGUAACUUCUUGUUUGCUUAAAUUCUAAUUUCGGGACGAAAUUCCUUCUAACGGGGGGAUGAUGUGACAACCCGAAAUUUCCAUUUUGUACGAACAUUAACUAUUCAAUAGAAGCUAGUCCAGUUUCAAUGAACUUCAGACUUUUCCGAAUAAGUUUGUGUACAUUAGGGUUUACAUUUAAGGAGAUAUCAGGAGAGUGGAUGCUCAUGGGUUUGUGAAACUUGAGCAUUUCAACACUUCAUCAUGUUAGAGUCCAAUUCCAGAAUAAAAUAUUUUCUGCCAAAAUAUUUCAGGACUAUAAAUAGAUUUCUGAACUAAAUUAUUCAUUAUUCACAUUUCCAACUAGAGAAAAGCCAAUUUCUCUCUCACGGAUCUUCGGGUUUUCAUCCCAAGUCGUGAGUCCACUUCCCUAGUUGUGUUUUAUUACUUGUUUUAUGCUUAAUAACAUAGUUUACAUGUCAAAUAUGUAAGAUCCGGGAGUUUACCGCCCAAGAACGUUCUUGGGGAGUAAACUCCAAAACGAAGCCUAAGAGCUAUCUAGUCCCAUUUCCUUGUUAGGUAGCUAGUUAAGGACAUUAUGUAUGAUCUUUUAAGGCUAGAACACAAUCAAGAACACCUAGUUUUAGGAGUUUACGGCCCAAGAGUUUCUUGGACCGUAAACACCAAAUUUCAAGGGCUUAAAGUGCCCUAAACACUCCUAAGACUUUAAGACAAUAACCCUCUAUUACUUGUAGCUUGAAUGGGGAGUAAAUCACAUCAAAAUCAUCCCUAAAGGGGAGUUUACGGCCAAGAAAUGCUCUUGGGCCGUAAACUCCAAGUAAAGGCACCAAAGUGUGCCUAAAGUCCCCUUUAGCCUUAAACAAAAGUCUAGAAUUUAUCCUUUGUGUGCAAGAGGCUUAAAAGAAUUAAAACACCCACCCCAUAGGAGUUUACGGCCGUAAACUCUAGGGGAUAUGGUCUUUAGGCCGUAAACUCCUCAAAGGAGCAUUCUAAGGCCCUAAACUACCUAAAGGAUUAAACCACCAAUGCUAGGCUUAUUCUAGAAUUCAUUUAACACUUUAAAACACCCAAAACCACCAAGUCAAGAGUUCACGGCCGUAAACUCAAGGGUUUACGACCGUAAACUCCAAAGGUGGGGUUUGUUGGGUGGUAAGCUCAUAUACAAGGUCAUUUGGUACAUUAAACCCCUUUAGCCUUGUCCCGUAGCAACUUAGAUGCAACCAUUAGGACCUAUAACACUUAUACAAAGUGUUUACAUGUUCCUAAGUGUCCCAACUUAUUUCAUUAAGUUAUUAUUUGGCUAAUUAGUUAUAUAUAUGCUUAUUAUAUGAUAACUAGGCUCGUGCGUGUGAACAAGUCUCCGUUUGCCACCUAGCACGGUAUCCGACACUACAAUCCAAACCACUCACCACAAGUGAGUUCAUACCCCUUUAAAUUAACCUUUGGAAUACUUUAAAUGUUUUAAAUACUUUAUGGGGGGGAUACAAGUUCAAUGCUUAUAGUUAUUGAAAUCAAUCACAUGUGAUUGCAUUAAUCACAUGUGAUUAAUAACUAGAAAACCAAUGAUUUUAUCACUGUUCAAACUGUUUAUCAAACUGCUUUACUUCGAAAUGUUUUACAAACUCUUUUACUUAUCAAAUACUUUUAUUUAAACUUUGUUAUACUUCUUAUAAAUUGCAUGCCCAUAUAUGUAUAGAUAUAUAAGCAAUGUUUAAAGGGCUUAGGAAGGCCAUCCGCCCUAUUUCCUUUUUCUCGAUUUGGAUGUGGUCUGGUGGGUUUUCGGGUAACCAUCCAAAGGUCGUUUCAAUAUUAGUUAUAUAUCAAUUAUUCAUAUAUAGACAUAAAAGUACUUCCAUAUUCAUGCGUACUAUACACAUUAGCAGUAAGUUACCAUCGGGGUAACACAUGAUCAUACUACUACAACUGUUAGAUCAAUGAGUCAGUUCAUUCAUGAGUCUAUACAUUACAUUACUACUAGAACAUAUACAACUAUACUAGGAGGAGAACAUAUACAACUAUACUAGAACGAGAAACAUUA